AUUGAACGCUGGCGGCAGGCCUAACACAUGCAAGUCGAGCGGAUGACGGGAGCUUGCUCCUUGAUUCAGCGGCGGACGGGUGAGUAAUGCCUAGGAAUCUGCCUGGUAGUGGGGGACAACGUUUCGAAAGGAACGCUAAUACCGCAUACGUCCUACGGGAGAAAGCAGGGGACCUUCGGGCCUUGCGCUAUCAGAUGAGCCUAGGUCGGAUUAGCUAGUAGGUGAGGUAAUGGCUCACCUAGGCGACGAUCCGUAACUGGUCUGAGAGGAUGAUCAGUCACACUGGAACUGAGACACGGUCCAGACUCCUACGGGAGGCAGCAGUGGGGAAUAUUGGACAAUGGGCGAAAGCCUGAUCCAGCCAUGCCGCGUGUGUGAAGAAGGUCUUCGGAUUGUAAAGCACUUUAAGCGAGGAGGAGGCUCUUAAGGUUAAUACCCUUGAUGAGUGGACGUUACUCGCAGAAUAAGCACCGGCUAACUCUGUGCCAGCAGCCGCAGUAACAC
rnacentral:rRNA from 1 species